rnacentral:rRNA from 1 species
CCAAAUAUUCCUGUACCGAUGUGUAGUGCGAUGUGGGGACGGAGAAGGUUAGCUCAUCCGGGUGUUGGAUGUCCCGGUUCAAGCCUGUAGUCGUGCCUGGUAGGUAAAUCCGCCGGGCUUAGAUGAGGGGUGACAACGAGGCGGCUUGCCGCCGAAGUGAGCGAUACCCUGCUUCCAGGAAAAGCCACUAAGCUUCAGCUGCACACGACCGUACCGCAAACCGACACUGGUGCGCGAGAUGAGUAUUCUAAGGCGCUUGAGAGAACUCAGGAGAAGGAACUCGGCAAAUUGACACCGUAACUUCGGGAGAAGGUGUACCUUUAGUAGGUGAACCUGUACAAGGGGAGCCCAAUGAGGUUGCAAAGAAUCGGUGGCUGCGACUGUUUAAUAAAAACACAGCACUCUGCAAACACGAAAGUGGACGUAUAGGGUGUGACGCCUGCCCGGUGCUGGAAGAUUAAAUGAUGGGGUGCAAGCUCUUGAUUGAAGUCCCAGUAAACGGCGGCCGUAACAAUAACGGUCCUAAGGUAGCGAAAUUCCUUGUCGGGUAAGUUCCGACCUGCACGAAUGGCGUAACGAUGGCCACACUGUCUCCUCCUGAGACUCAGCGAAGUUGAAAUGUUUGUGAUGAUGCAAUCUCCCCGCGGAAAGACGGAAAGACCCCAUGAACCUUUACUGUAGCUUUGUAUUGGACUUUGAACAGAUCUGUGUAGGAUAGGUGGGAGGCUUUGAAGCAGGGUCGCUAGAUCUUGUGGAGCCAACGUUGAAAUACCACCCUGGUGUGUUUGAGGUUCUAACCUUGGCCCGUUAUCCGGGUCGGGGACAGUGCAUGGUAGGCAGUUUGACUGGGGCGGUCUCCUCCCAAAGCGUAACGGAGGAGUUCGAAGGUACGCUAGUUACGGUCGGACAUCGUGACGAUAGUGCAAUGGCAUAAGCGUGCUUAACUGCGAGACUGACAAGUCGAGCAGAUGCGAAAGCAGGACAUAGUGAUCCGGUGGUUCUGUAUGGAAGGGCCAUCGCUCAACGGAUAAAAGGUACUCUGGGGAUAACAGGCUGAUACCGCCCAAGAGUUCAUAUCGACGGCGGUGUUUGGCACCUCGAUGUCGGCUCAUCUCAUCCUGGGGCUGUAGCCGGUCCCAAGGUAUGGCUGUUCGCCAUUUAAAGAGGUACGUGAGCUGGGUUUAAAACGUCGUGAGACAGUUUGGUCCCUAUCUUCCGUGGGCGCUGCAGAUUUGAGGAAGCCUGCUCCUAGUACGAGAGGACCGGAGUGGACGCACCUCUGGUGUAUCGGUUGUCACGCCAGUGGCAUUGCCGAGUAGCUAUGUGCGGAAGAGAUAACCGCUGAAAGCAUCUAAGCGGGAAACUCGUUUCAAGAUGAGAUCUGCCGGGGCCUUGAGCCCCCUAAAGAGUCGUUCAAGACCAGGACGUUGAUAGGCUGGGUGUGGAAGCGCAGUAAUGCGUUAAGCUAACCAGUACUAAUUGCUCGUGCGGCUUGACCCC